rnacentral:rRNA from 1 species
CCUACGGGAGGCAGCAGUGAGGAAUAUUGGUCAAUGGACGAGAGUCUGAACCAUCCAAGUAGCGUGAAGGAUGACUGCCCUAUGGGUUGUAAACUUCUUUUAUAUGGGAAUAAAAUGUUCCACGUGUGGGAUUUUGUAUGUACAAUAUGAAUAAGGAUCGGCUAACUCCGUGCCAGCAGCAGCGGUAAUACGGAGGAUCCGAGCGUUAUCCGGAUUUAUUGGGUUUAAAGGGAGCGUAGGUGGAUUGUUAAGUCAGUUGUGAAAGUUUGCGGCUCAACCGUAAAAUUGCAGUUGAAACUGGCAGUCUUGAGUACAGGAGAGGUGGGCGGAAUUCGUGGUGUAGCGGUGAAAUGCUUAGAUAUCACGAAGAACUCCGAUUGCGAAGGCAGUUCACUGGACUGCAACUGACACUGAGGCUCGAAAGUGUGGGUAUCAAACAGGAUUAGAUACCCUAGUAGUC